GGAAAGGGCGGUCAACACCCGUCAGCGCGAUGCGCCCACGGGUGCUUUUUUU
rnacentral:sRNA from 1 species